UCCACUGUCGCAAUAUAUUAAUUAAGUUUUAUGUAGUCAUCAUAUACUAGGCCCAAAACCCCUUAUAAAGCCCAGUCAAGUUCACAUACCUGUAUAUGGCCCACUAGGCCUAAUCACAUUUAUAUGGCCCAUUAGGCCCAAAUCACAUUUAUAUGGCCCAUCAAGCCCAAUUCACAUUUAUAAUCAUGCUCACAUAUGAUUUUCAUCACAUAGCAUCAAUUAUCAAUUUUUGCCUAUUAUGGGCCCAACAACCCAUCAGGCCCAUUAAGCCUAUUCUGGCCCGAUUGGCCAAUUCACAGCCCAAGCCCAUGGAAUCGCUCAUGGGGCCUUAGACAACUUAUCGGUUUCCAUCUCACGAGUGUUCGCGCACUCGCAAGACUGCCGUAGUCAAACUUUUGGCUUUUCGGUAUUUCGACUUUUGCCGAUCUACUUGUGUGCAGUGUGUGUACACACCUUCGGCUUUAUAUCAAGUUAUCAUAAGGUAGAAGUACACACCUUAUCACCUGGAAUACUAAGUAUUCAUAAUUGCCUGAACCUAUAUUCAACAUUAUAUUCCAUUAGUCACAUUUCAUUAAUUCAAAAUAAAUCCACUACUUACCGAAGAACCACCUAUUCUUUCCUUGACUCGAUUGAUCGACUGCGAUCUGCCUAUGUAACUCAAAAUAUGACGUAGUCCCCCUUCCGCAUCCAAGAAGAAAGUCCCUAACGGCUGACACCUUAUGUCGCUUAAACUUGGGAGCCUCUAUCCCAACCUCUCUGCUAGAACCCCCUUUUUCCAUCAGCGAUCACACUGUUGAAUGAAAGGGAAAAAGAGAAACAAAUGAAGAAACCGUAGGUUAACGAAAUUUUUUGAAAGAAUAAAGAAGAAUCGGCUUUUAAGAGUGUAGAAAUGAAAGAACUUAGAAAUAUUUAACAAAAGCAGAAGAAGAUCUAUUUCACUUACCGAUUGCGAGAUUGCUUGCCAACUAGAAAUCAAACCCCCAAAGUGUAUGAAUCGGCUUUUAAAUAAAAAAGAAAUAGUCGGCUAAGUUGAAAAGGGAAGAGAUUGAUUCGAUUAAAAUAGGGAAGAAAAGAUCAAGAAUUUGGCUUAAAGAAAAGAGGAGGUGAUAUGCG
rnacentral:lncRNA from 1 species